GCUGAACAAUCAUUACCCAAAGAACCAACUGAAACGGAGACCAAUAUUUCAAAAAUUCGUGUACGCAAACCUACUGGGGACUUUUUGGAACGUCGUUUCUAUACUGAAAAUACAUUACAGGACCUUCUAAAUUUUGUCGCAUCAAAAGGUUUCCUUAUCGAUGAAUACAAAGUAAUUUCCAGUUGGCCAAGACGUGACCUCACGGCCAUCGAUAGCAGUCAGACAUUGCAAUCGUUAAAAUUAUAUCCUCAAGAGACAGUUAUCUUGGAAGAACGAUGAUUUUAAACUCAUAUAUACAUAUA